UACGUGGGGACCAAGCGUUGUUCGGAUUUACUGGGCGUAAAGGGCGCGUAGGCGGCGUGGUAAGUCAGCUGUGAAAUCUCCGAGCUUAACUCGGAACGGUCAGCUGAUACUGCUGUGCUAGAGUACAGAAAGGGCAAUCGGAAUUCUUGGUGUAGCGGUGAAAUGCGUAGAUAUCAAGAGGAACACCUGAGGCGAAGGCGGGUUGCUAGGCUGAUACUGACGCUGAGGCGCGAAAGCUAGGGUAGCAAACGGG
rnacentral:rRNA from 1 species